AGUGAACGCUGGCGGUAGGCCUAACACAUGCAAGUCGAACGGCAGCACAGUAAGAGCUUGCUCUUACGGGUGGCGAGUGGCGGACGGGUGAGGAAUACAUCGGAAUCUACUUUUUCGUGGGGGAUAACGUAGGGAAACUUACGCUAAUACCGCAUACGACCUACGGGUGAAAGCAGGGGAUCUUCGGACCUUGCGCGAUUGAAUGAGCCGAUGUCGGAUUAGCUAGUUGGCGGGGUAAAGGCCCACCAAGGCGACGAUCCGUAGCUGGUCUGAGAGGAUGAUCAGCCACACUGGAACUGAAACACGGUCCAGACUCCUACGGGAGGCAGCAGUGGGGAAUAUUGGACAAUGGGCGAAAGCCUGAUCCAGCCAUACCGCGUGGGUGAAGAAGGCCUUCGGGUUGUAAAGCCCUUUUGUUGGGAAAGAAAAGCAGCAGGUUAAUACCCCGCUGUUCUGACGGUACCCAAAGAAUAAGCACCGGCUAACUUCGUG
rnacentral:rRNA from 1 species